GAUGAACGCUAGCUACAGGCUUAACACAUGCAAGUCGAGGGGCAGCAUCAUUGAAGCUUGCUUUAUUCUAUGGCUCCCGCCGCACGGGUGAGUAACACGUAUCUCCCCUUCCGAUAACUCUGGGAUAUCCUUUUGCAAGAAAGAUUCUUAUCCGCUAUUAUAGUAUUUCCGCAUGUUUUCACUAUUUAAGAACUUUGGUUAUCGUUGGGGAUGCGUUCUAUUAGAUAGUUGGCGGGGUAACGGCCCACCAAGGCAACGAUGAGUAGGGGUUCUGAGAGGAAGGUCCCCCACAUUGGAACGGAGACACGGUCCAAACUCCUACGGGAGGCAGCAGUGAGGAAUAUUGGUCAAUGGACGAGAGUCUGAACCAGCCAAGUAGCGUGAAGGAAGACGGCCCUAUGGGUUGUAAACUUCUUUUAUACGGGAAUAAAGUGGAGUAUGCAUAAUCCUUUGUAUGUACCGUAUGAAUAAGGAUCGGCUAACUCCGUG
rnacentral:rRNA from 1 species